GUUUGUUAGAGAGGGACAAAGUAAACAGAUUGGAAUAAUUCAUUUGAGUUAACGCUCAUUGACAAGAAAACAUUAAGCAUUCUCCAGAUGAAGCAUCAGUCAUAAAAGACAGAAGGAUAAUCCUAACACUACCACACAAGUAAAUUAGUUUUCUGAUAUAUAUUCCAGCAUUGCACAAAGCUGUACCAAUUCUUAAUACUUGCAUAAUAAUAUGCACUUUUAAAUGAUGCCAGAAAUCAUUAUUACAACAGAGUGAGUUUGCUGUUUAUGUUUAUUAAUGUGGGAAAGUUGGAAGAGUUAUUAGAUAUUAAAUGUCAAUUUUAGAGUGAUUGAAGCUAAACAACUGUAAAACCGAUUGAGAAGAUUUGAGCAGAUAAAUGCAAAUGGAAGAGGAGACCACCACAUGCUGCCACAGUGGAAACACAUCUUGAUGCUAUCCCCUUCGCAUUGCAGAACAUGUGCAACCUGAUGAACCAGCUCCUUUGCAAAGUGGUGAGAGAAGGCUGAGGGCAUGGGACCAUGGUAAGUAUGAGACUGAAGCAAAUUUACCACUUUGAAUACAGAGAAUCAUUGUAUUUUAGCUCAUUAGCAUCUUUCUUGCUUACAAGUACUGGCCCAGUUUAUCUAUAUUUGUCUAUAGGUGGACCACUGAGGUUGUGUGCUUUUGUUUACUGGUGAGGUUGGAUACAAAAUUCUGCUCCAUCAUUCUGUGCCGACAAGACCACUGGAGUUGCUCCUCAAAGCUGGUACAUCAGCCUGUUAACACCUUUCCUCUAAACAGGGUGGGAGGAAAGCAGGGCAGAAUUGGCCCUUAAAAAGCAACAGCUGUGUCUGAUGAAGAUAAUGUUUAUUGGGUAUACAUGAUACAAGCAGACUGUGCUCUCAAUGAGGUGAGAUGAAGUAGGGAAAGAGAAAACAAGAAGAGCAGAGUAUAGUAGUUGUGUAGUAGAGUAGUAGAAAAGUAAACUUUUUUUUUUUUCUUGGAAACAUGCAUUUUUUGUUUAUUGGUUUGGUUUGGUUUGCUUUGUUUUCUAACAAACCCACAUUAGUCUACUUGAGUGUACUAUCUGUCCUUACAGUUUUUGCUGCUGGAAUGGUAAGCUGCCAAAGCGUAAGCUGUUGCACUAAUGUUAAUCUAACCUGUUAAAUUUCUCCCGAAUAAGCAGGUGUGAAUUGUUCCUUCAUCGCAGAAGGACUGGGAUGCAGAAUUCAUCCUGGGAAGGAAAGUCUGGAAAACUGCUUUAGUGUCUUGUGGACCAGGGGAAAAAAAAAUGGAAAACAGUUCCAUGGAGCCAUCAAUGGAAAAAAAGAAAAAAAAAAAGUCCUUUUUUUCAAUAAUUCAUUACAUUGCACUUGGAUGAUUAAUACUGGAUGAAAGUUUGGAGAAGGUUACACAGGAUGCCAAAGGGCCAUAUUUUUCUGUGGCAAAACUGAACUCUGCACCUGAGAGGCAGCUCUGGAUUUUGUAGUGAAUGGAGGAGAGCUCCAUUUUAAAAUGUUUUCUGUAUAAUAUGUUUGAUUUACUUCCUCUUAUCUGAUUCAAAGAAGCAGCAAAACUCAACACAAGUAUGAUACUCCUGUCAUUGGAAUUGUGAGGAAAAAGGCAAAGACUGAUCUCACAGCUCCACCACAGUCACAUUUCUGAGGAGGUCCCAAAAGGGAUAGUUGCCAUUGCAGUGAUAAAAACUGUGAGCAGCUUGGAGUUCAGCCAUGCCAGGGAGAGAAUAUGAUACUUCACAUGAACACGUCAAGGUUUGGCAGCAAAAAGAAAACCAGCUGAGGAUAAUAUUCCCAGCCUCAAGAGAACAUCGCCUUUGGAAAAAUGAUAGAAGAAAAAAACAGUAUGGCUAUUAUCUUUACUUAGAGGAAGACUGAUGGAGAAAAUGUGAGUAUUGCACCUUGAAAUUUUCUUCAUAUGGCAUGAAAGAUGAGGCCUUUCCGUUAGUCAAAUUGCACCUUCAAACAGAAGGAACAGUGCUGAAGGGGUUUUUUUUGUGUGUUUGUUGUUGUUUGUUUGUUUGUUUUGUUUUGUUUUGUUUUGUUUUCCUGUGGGCAGAUUUCACAUUUCAAGAAAGUUUGAGUUCUGCUCUGACUUCUAGAAAGUGACAGUCUGUUCUACAGAAAAUAUUGAAUAUUACAGAUAAUCAGAGUGUAGUUUGUAUUGUCUAUUAGCUUGAUAUUUCUUCCUCAAUUGAUGUUUUCUGUGAAAAUACAGUUCAGCCCAGUAGAAGAAGAAAAAAAUUGUGUUGUGCCACAUUAAUUUUACUUCUACAAACACAUAAAUGGUCAUGUGAUUGUUCCACAGGUUAAUUUUGUACCCCUGAGUGAGUCUUUGUCUGCUUUUUAUCUUGUUAAAACUUCCUGUUCAUAAAUAAAAUUGACUUUUUAUACUUUGCUAGGCAGUCACGAUUCGGUGACAAAUGGCUAUGAAGGCUGUCCUGUCUGCUCUGCCUUCGUUCUCACUCAGGCUCCUCUUUGUCAAGGUGAAAUAUUGUGCCCUUGUUGCUUGAACCACUGAUGCUAAAAUACAACAAAGGAAUGUAUUUUUGUUACAGAGAUGAUUGCAGUGCUGCGUUCCUCAGAAAGGCACAAACUGCAGCACAGAAUCACAAAGGAACAGAUCCAACACCAUUUGACAUAAGUGAAAAUCCUUCCGUUCAGUUCAGUAGGCUUUAAUCGGACCGGCAUUGCCUUAUUUCCCAGUUUUGUUUUGAAGUAUUCUUUACACUUAAGAGAUGAGAACUAAUCCCUUCUCUCCCUCCCUCUUGGUGUUUAUGAUCCAGGCUUUUGUAAUAGUAGCAUUUUCCUGCAAUGCCAGCAGAAUACCAAUGAAAUGCUUCUUCCCACAGUGACACAUACAAUCAUGCUCAAGUGCAAGGAAUGAUAUUUACAAUACCCUACCUGACUCUUGUUUUAGCUCACUGGAUUCCUUCAGCCAUGUCUCAUCGGUUGCUACAAAAUCCUGUGAGAACACGAGGAGCACCUACACUCACCAGAAAUACAAACUGAAUAGCUUAAAGUGCAUAGUCUUUUGACAACUGACUCACAGAUUUUCACUCUAAGAGCACAGGCCUUACUGCAUCUGUGCUGUUGUGCUACCAUGUGCCAAACUGUAGUUGACAAAGUGAUAUAGUAGAUCAUUUUAGAUGAAGCUUUUUACCAGUAGAGAAGCCAAGAAAAACUCAUGGUUUGAAUGUCUGGAACUCCUAGACCUUUUUUCAACUUCAUUUACUUUUUAAAUGCACAGUGUAGCAAAGUUAUCAGUCAGAUGUAUCGGAUAAAGGACAUCCAUAUUGCAUCUUUGUUUUUUACCAUUUUAUAAUGCUGUUGCUCCCUUAGCAGACAAAGGUUCUGGAAAUAAUCAGUGAACUCAGAACUAGAACAAAAGUGCUAAUGUGGCACCGAGUCCCUAAGUAAAUAAGCAAGUUCCAGACAAAAUCCUUUCAACAGCAUUGUAUGUCUGUGUUAGCACUGUGUUUCCUUCAGGAGUGAUCAGCAGCACUCUGGCUGCACAAAGGUGGUUAUUCACUUCGUACAGCUCUGUGCUAAAGACAGAAGAGCUUUUUGGUAGAGUAUACCACUCAAGGCUUCCAGGGAGCUACACGAGCUGCAUUUUGUGGCAUGAUUAAAGACAAAAGCAAGAAGAAAAGAAAAUCAUGGUGGGUAUUUUUGAAGGAGGAUAAAAGACAUGAAGUAAAGGCUAGUUUUGCCAGCUUCAGUGGCCAUUAGCUAAUCAGAGAUAUAAACACAUCUGUUGUUUAUCAGCCAGACAUAUAGGUACUGUAUUUUGUUACAUGAAAACAAGACCUCUGAUCCUUUAUAUAGUACAGAUUAACUCCUUUGCUUAUUUCAAAUUCACAGCUCAAAUCCACAGCACCUCAGUAGAAAACAUUGAUGUUUCAGUGAUUUUUCAGAUCUCUGAUUGUUCAGAUGCAAUGGAAUAGCCAUUCGCUUGAUUAUUAUUAUUUUUAAAUAAUUUUUAUUUUUAAUCAAAUAUAUGGGAAACCUCAUGGGACUCCUUGAUUUCAUGUGAUUGCUGCUAAUUAAGAGAUGUAGAAAACUUGAAAUAAUCAGUUCUGAUAGGAUUUUUGCCAAUUUAGUUUGAAACAGCUUGCAAGAAUUAUGCAAUCUGUGUGUUGGUCCUGAUUCAGUUUGAACUUAACACUGGGGUCUGCUUUUUAAUGUCCCCUCUGUCCAUGGCUUACUUAAGAUUCUUAUCUCCUGUUGUGGUUCUUUUUGGAGUCCAAUCUGAAACAUUCAACCUUUUUCUAAUAUAAAUGCAGUAAAUCUCUUUUCUGUCAUGAUAAUGUAAGACUACUGGGUGAAUCACUUCACGAAUUUUAACCUAAUAACUUAUUAUUUUUUUCCGAUAUAACAUGUAGGUGGAUAACGUUCCAUCACCGGUGACUGUAAUCACCUUCAGCCCCAAUUCAGCAUCACCAGUUCUGGCUUGAUUAAGUAUUUGCUGCUUCUAUUUCAUCCUCUCUUGACAGAGAUAACUUUGUUUUAAUUCAAACUGUCACAUUCUGGAGUUCAGGAAGGACACAGAAAUGUCAGGUAAUAAUCCCUCCUCAAUCUUGUGAGUAGUUAGUGCUGCUAAUAUGCAGAACCAUCAGCAUGUUGGCAUGAUUCUAACUUAAUCAUUUGCAGCAGCCCAAGCUUUGUUGAGAUCAGUUAAAGCUGAUCUGGAUAAGCGUCGCCCAACUCUACACGCUUUACCAUGUUUUUCGUGUGUAACGAUGAAUUUAAUCUGGCAACUCUUCAUGUUUCUUUGUUACUUUAUAAUUUUAAAUGCAUUUCAUCAGAAUGUGAAUAUUCCAUAAGAACAAAUGCACACAGUUUUUACUUUCAGAAAGUAAGCCAACCCAAAACAGGACCUGUGUGUGGAUGCUUUUGUCUCUAGAUGAAUGUGCUUACAAUGGGCUUGAUGUUAAAAUAAACAGCAACACUGCCUACAUUCACAAACUAAACAGGCAUCAAAAGCUACACAACACACAGAGGAUAAGGCCAAAUGUUAAUAAUCACCAUUUUUUAUGACCCUACCAUCUUACUGUAGUGAUUUGUAGGAGAACAUGUGAACCCUCAUUUUCCAAUUCUCUCUCUGUGUGGAAGCAUGAAGAAGGAUAACACUCACCCCCAGAGUUCAAACUACAGAUACAGGAAAGAGGUAUUUUCUUUUUAACAGUUAAACAUUUUACAUGUUUAGGCUACGAAGGAACCAAAGGUACAGCCUCCAGUCAUUUGCCCUGAUGAAGAUGAAACUGAGUUUUAUCUACAUUUCUAUUGUUUGUAAAUAUCAUUUUACUCUAUCUGGAAUGGGAUUACUGGUGUUCAUCACCCACCCAACCAUCCACCUACCUUUUCUGACUUCUUUUAUCCUUUGAAACAUUGGGUGGUGUUUUUUGUUCUAUCCCUAGUAGUCAGUAAUAGUUUCCACUAGUUCAAAAUCUUAUUACUUGAAUGCACUUGUUCAAAGUGCAUGACACCUGCCUUUUCUGUACAUUUAGUAAUGAUGACUAAACACAGCCAAAGGGUGGUUUUGUAGCUGAUGAGUCAAUAUAUCAAUAGGAGUAAAUGACACAGUUUUGUUCAUAAGCAAGUCUUUGUAUACAGUCAGAGUACUUCAGAGAAAACAAAUUUUCUGGGCUGAAGACUGCAAUUUGGAUUAUGUUUACCUUGCUCUUCCAUAAUGUUGCUAUGCUUGUUCACAGAGAAUCUACUUGUACUUCUGAAGCCCUUUAAUCUGAAAUGGAUCUCUUCUGAAAAUCUUUAUCUUCCUAUUUUCCUUCAUUAUGUUUGUAAUCUCCCUACAACACAUCAAAAGCAAAUAUUUUUAUAUCAGGCUCACAAACCAGGAGCAAACUAAUGGUUACUAGCUUUUAUUGCUGAACAUGAUGCUGUAUGGUAUGGGAUAUUCAACUGGUCAGUUUGGCUCAGCUGUCCUUGCUGUGCCCCCUUACAGCUUCUUGUGCACCCCCAGCCCCUUGCUGAAUCAGAAAAGUCCUUGGCUCUAUGUAAGCACUGCUCUGCAACAACUAAAACCAUUGGUGUGUUAUCACCUCUAUUUUCAUCAAAAAAUCCAAAAUAAAGCAUCACAUGGACCUGUACAAAGAAAAUUAACUUUAUCCCAGCCAAGACCAUGACAAUCCUCUGCUAAGGUUUAGUCCAAAUAGCUGCAAAAGCACGCAUAUUUAGUCUUUUUUCUUUCCUUACGGCAUAGUUUGCAUUUUUCCUGAUUGCCAAGUAUUUAGAUUAUGUGAUGCUCUUGAGCCUGCAAAAGCUACCUCCAUCAGAAUUCUUGAACUCACAUAGCUUUGAAUGGGACCUCAUAGUCAAGACUAAUCUUCACGCUACUUCACAUGCAUUAAAUUCCCUAUGCUAGGGAAAAAUACCCUGAAUAGUUCAGAAGUAAGCUGAGGUCUGAGUGACUACUGUGCCCAAAAUUUCAUUCUUUGAAAAGCAUGCUUUUAAUUUAAAAAUCACUCUUCUAGCUAUCACUAUGAAGAUCUCUCAGAUAUAGAAGAAGGUAAUUCUCUCACUCCAAAUCAGGCAGAAUGCACGCACCAUUCUCAAGUGUUAAAAUUCAAGAAUUUUAACCUUGUAAAAUCCAGAAUUCAUUUAUUUAUUGUUUCUAACACAGUCAUUAGUAUUUACUCAUAAAAAACUAUUUAAAAGAAAAGACUGACUAUUUUGAAUUCAUGAAAGAACCAUUUAUGAGUGAUCAAAUUCAAUAUCAGAUAGAUGAAAAGUUUUCCAAGAACUGAUUUCAGCUAUUUUUAAUUUAGCUUUGUAAAAGAAAGGAGAUGAAAGGCCAGAUUCUCAACUGGUAUAAAUUGGCAUUGCUUCAUACAAUGAAAUGGAGAUGUAUUCUGAUGAACACCAGCUGAAUAUCUGGCUUUGAGAUCAUCAAAGCUAGCGUGGGGUUCCAUGUGGUUAUUGUCCACACGUUUCCUAAUAUGAUGUGCUGAUAUGAAUGUAAUAGCAUAAACUAUUGAGAAAUUAACUAUUUAUAUUAUUUGUAGACAUAUAAUAUAAGCAAUCUCCCUGGCAGAGGUAAAAAGAAAAUUAAAAAAAAAAAAGAAAAAAAAAAAAAGAGAGAGAGAGAGAGAAGAAAGAGUUUGGGAGAUGGAAGAUAUAGCAAUAAACUAAUGCAAUUUUUAACAGAGUUUGUCCAAGUGAGGAGUACACUUAGCUGCAUCAGUAUAUUUGCCUUAGCUAGAGCUAAAGUUACUCUAUCAAUUAUUUUUCAGGAGGUUAUCUGAAAAGAAAAAUGUCUGAAGUCAAACAUGUCUUACAUCACCUGUUUCACAGCACCAGAAAUCUACUUUUACAUUAUCAUAUUCAAUAUCCAAACAAAAGCAGAUGAAUCCUCAAUGGUUAAUGCCCUUGGAGGACUUUGAACAGGAGAAUAAGAUUCAACUAUUUUAAAAAAAACUUGGUGGCCUCCAUAAGGGAAAAUAAAUGACAAGUGGAAAUAUAAAUGAAAAA